rnacentral:rRNA from 1 species
AACUAGCUAACUGAAAUCACAAAAUCACAAAAUGUGCUUAUCGUGAUAACGUAAGGGAAAAAAAUGAUAUUACCUUACUAUAAGUGUAGUCUAAAUAACUGGUGCCAGAAGACUCGGUAACACCAGAAACGCGAACGUUAGUCGUCUUAAACAGGCGUAAAGGGUAAGUAGGCUGCUUUAAAGUCUAUUUUUUUUAAAUAAGCUAAUUAAUAAUAUUACAUAUCCCUCCCUCUGCCUUAGGCAGGGUAAGCUUAUAGUCACCCUUACUUUAUCAGACCCUAGUCAUAUUNUACCCAGCCUCCAGUAUAUGGAGGCCAGGUUAAUAUGCUAAGGCUGAGAGGGUGGGAGCUAAAGCUAAGGAGGGGUAGGCCAUAUCUAUAACUAUUAAAUAUUCUAAUUGAAAGACCUUAAAUUAAAAAUUAAGGCUAACAUAAAUGAAAAUAUGGAAUUAUCAUACCUAACUGCUUUACCCUUAUGGCGCAACGGAGAAUCAUAAUAAUCAUUAAUNGNAUCNCAAAUAGAUACACU